GACGAACGCUGGCGGCGUGCUUAACACAUGCAAGUCGAACGGAAAGGCCCUGCUCUUGCGGGUUGCUCGAGAGGCGAACGGGUGAGUAACACGUGAGUAACCUGCCCUUGACUUUGGGAUAACUCCAGGAAACUGGGGCUAAUACCGGAUAGGAGAUUCUGCUGCAUGGGGGGGGUUGGAAAGAUUCGGCGGUUGGGGAUGGACUCGCGGCUUAUGGGCUUGUUGGGGGAGUAGUGGCUUACGACGGUUUUGACGGGUAGCCGGCCUGGGAGGGGGACCGGCCACCUUGGGCCUGAGAGACGGCGCAGACUGCUACGGGAGGCAGCAGUGGGGAAUAUUGCGGAGUGGGCCGACGCCUGAUGCAGCAGCGCCGCGUGCGGGAUGACGGCUUUCGGGUUGUGAACCGCUUUGGCCUGUGCCGAAGCGUGAGUGACGGUAAUGGGUAAAAAAGCACCGGCUAACUACGUG
rnacentral:rRNA from 1 species